UUCAAAUACAUUUCCUGUUAGGCAAUAUGUUGCUUGUUUGUAUUCCUAACUCCUAAUUCCUAAUUCCUUGUAUUAUGUAGGCUAUCAUUUAUACGUGGAAAUCAAUUUGCGUAAGACUGCAGAUAUAUAUAGAGAGUAUCUGAGAGAUAAAACAAAUCUGAAAUGUUGUGUUUCUUUGCGUGUUCUCACAUGUUUAAAUACUACUGAGAACAUCGCAAGGAUGGAACAACAAUUAGAUCUCCUGAAAGCUACAUAGAAAUUAAAUGACAUGCCUCUCUUUCUUGUGAAAUGUGUUUCUUUAUAAAUACUUUAUAAAUGGACCCAUGUUAUAUCCAAAUGAGGAGAAUGACCUAAUUUUUGUAUUAUUAAUUAUUUCAAUCAAUGUUAUUGUUAGACUUCGGUUCCAACAAAUUGCAAGCUGUCCAGGUUUUGGGCGAUUGGCGGUUCUUCCAAAUAUUGUAACUCUGUAACACUAUAUGGAUAAAUCACAAACAACCUAAUUAAAGGGACAAUGGAUGAACAGUCUUGUUUUUUGUUUUUUUUUGGUAAAUCAGAGUUCCGUCUGUAGUGUCAAAAAUGGGAUGAUUGAUGGUUAGGG